rnacentral:sRNA from 1 species
UCCGGCCUGUGGUACAGUCCUAUUUAUGCACGACAUUUUGAGUAAAGUAGUUAAAAUUUAAAGCGUUAUCCUUGAUAGCUCUUCUCUGACUAAUUUCCUUUCUAGUGCCUCCAUAAGUAACUGAUGACCGGCUAUAGUACUGCCCAUGGCGGCUUAAAUUUUUUAUUGAAGGAAUUAGACAUGUCUAACAUGAUCAAAGGUCAAGUGAAGUGGUUCAACGAGUCUAAAGGUUUUGGUUUCAUCACUCCAGCAGACGGCAGCAAAGAUGUGUUCGUACACUUCUCCGCUAUCCAAGAUCAAGGUUUCAAGACCCUGGCUGAAGGCCAGAACGUACAGUUCUCUAUUGAGAACGGUGCUAAAGGUCCGUCAGCGGCUAACGUUACCGCUAUCUAAUCGGCUUUUUGCUGAUUAAAAAGACCCGCUGAGGCGGGUUUUUUUACG